rnacentral:misc_RNA from 1 species
UUUCAAAGACGCAAGCUUACAUGAAAAAGAAGUAAAGAACCUAGUUUGCUGGGUCUCAUCUUAUGGUAUUAUUGUUCUAUGCACAUUUUCUAUCUGUAGGGAAUGGCCAAUGUGCUCUUUGACAUUAAGCCCAAAGAGAAGCCAUUCCCUUUUAUGAACAAUGGUCAGAUAAGAACAUUCCCAAAUCUUUAUAUAAUGCUUACUCG